UACGUAGGGAGCAAGCGUUGUUCGGAUUUACUGGGCGUAAAGGGCGCGUAGGCGGCAAAUCAAGUCAGCUGUGAAAUCUCCGAGCUUAACUCGGAACGGUCAACUGAUACUGCUCGGCUAGAGUGCGGAAGGGGCAACUGGAAUUCUUGGUGUAGCGGUGAAAUGCGUAGAUAUCAAGAGGAACACCUGCGGCGAAGGCGGGUUGCUGGGCCGACACUGACGCUGAGGCGCGAAAGCUAGGGGAGCGAACGGG
rnacentral:rRNA from 1 species